rnacentral:rRNA from 1 species
ACGUAGGGGGCAAGCGUUGUUCGGAAUUACUGGGCGUAAAGGGCAUGUAGGCGGCCUUGUAAGCUUAGCGUGAAAGUCCACGGCUUAACCGUGGGAUUGCGUUGGGAACUGCGAGGCUUGAGUGCCGGAGAGGGAGGUAGAAUUCCUGGUGUAGGGGUGGAAUCUGUAGAGAUCGGGAGGAAUACCAGUGGCGAAGGCAACUUACUGGACUAUAACUGACGCUGAGGUGCGAAAGUGUGGGGAUCAAACAG